rnacentral:rRNA from 1 species
GCAACUUGCCCUACUGAAAAGGAUAGCCCUUCGAAAGGAGGAUUAAUACUUUAUAACAGAUUGAAUGGCAUCAUUUAAUUUUGAAAGAUUUAUCGCAGUAGGAUAGGCAUGCGUAAGAUUAGUUAGUUGGAGAGGUAACGGCUCACCAAGACGAUGAUCUUUAGGGGGCCUGAGAGGGUGAACC